UGUUGGUUUCUGCUUUCCUUCACUGUGCAGCUCUGCUUGUCACGAGACAGGUGUUUACAUUCCACAGUCUGUACUGUUGGAGUUUCUCACGGGAAAGGGAGGCUGGAUGUGACGUACACUGGUUUCCUGUUUUUCACUGUGUGAUUCUCUCCGAGCUGUCGAGGAGAGAGGAUGCAUUUUCUGCUCCGGCAGAGGCAAGAUGUCUUUCUGUAAUAUACCAGCUUUGAACUGUAAAUAAAGCAAUAUAGAGUAUGC